rnacentral:misc_RNA from 1 species
CUCAAACAGCAUGACAAAAUGGAAUCCUAUCUGAACAAACCUCAUCCAGUGGUCUAUCAAUCCAUCAUAUUAUCAUGCGUCCUUCAAUAGUAGCCAGACAAUAUUAGUCAAAGUCAACAAACUAAUCUGACUGGCUAGAGACUAGUUGCUAUUGUGUGUGCCUACCACAUCAUAUCUCUAUCUAUCACAGUGUCAUUUGGACUAACUGAAUUUUAAAAAGGUCCCUCACUUGUCUUGCUAGUGUGCGCUAGGAAUUCUUGCUUCUGAGUUGCUGCCAUGGCAAAGCCUGUUUCAAUUGAAGUUUGGAACCCAAGUGGGAAAUACAGAGUUGUUAGCACCAAAUCCAUGCCAGGAACUCGCUGGAUUAAUCUCUUGAUUGCGCAAGAUUGCAGGGUUGAGAUAUGCACAGAGAAGAAAACAAUACUGUCUGUUGAGGAUAUUGUUGCUCUAAUUGGAGAUAAGUGUGAUGGAGUAAUUGGGCAGUUGACAGAAGAUUGGGGAGAGACUUUGUUUGCAGCUUUAAGCAGAGCAGGAGGAAAGGCUUUUAGUAACAUGGCUGUUGGCUACAACAAUGUUGAUGUUAAUGCUGCUAAUAAGUAUGGUGUUGCUGUUGGAAACACUCCUGGGGUUCUUACAGAGACGACAGCAGAGUUAGCAGCUUCGCUUUCCUUAGCAGCAGCUAGAAGAAUAGUUGAAGCCGAUGAGUUUAUGAGGGCAGGCCUAUAUGAUGGAUGGCUUCCUUAUCUUUUUGUGGGAAAUUUGCUCAAAGGACAGACUGUUGGUGUUAUUGGAGCAGGUCGUAUUGGAUCUGCUUAUGCCAGAAUGAUGGUUGAAGGUUUCAAAAUGAAUCUAAUUUACUAUGAUCUUUACCAAGCCACACGCCUGGAGAAGUUUGUUACAGCAUAUGGUGCAUUUUUACAAGCAAACGGCGAGCAGCCAGUUACAUGGAAAAGAGCAAGCAGCAUGGAUGAGGUGCUUCGUGAGGCAGAUGUGAUAAGUCUACACCCAGUCUUGGAUAAGACCACUUAUCAUUUGAUCAACAAAGAAAGGCUUUCAACAAUGAAGAAGGAAGCAAUCCUUGUAAACUGUAGUAGGGGUCCAGUGGUUGAUGAAGUAGCUCUUGUGGAACAUUUGAAACAAAAUCCCAAGUUUCGAGUCGGUCUUGAUGUCUUCGAGGAUGAACCAUACAUGAAGCCUGGGCUGGCUGAACUGAAGAAUGCCAUUGUAGUACCUCACAUUGCUUCUGCUUCUAAGGUACAUCCUAUUUGAGCAUCAAUGAAAAUCUUUAAUAUGGUUAAACAUUUUAACUUUUUGAUGGGUAGUUAUCUCAUUAGCUGUAUCUAUGAAUGUUCUAUCUUGUUGUGUUUGAAGUGGACUCGCGAAGGAAUGGCAACUCUAGCAGCUCUGAAUGUCCUGGUGUGUUAAGAUUUGAUAAUUGAACUUCACUUAAUACUCGAUCAAGUUCAAUUCAUCUGAUAAUUCACUAUGUAUUCACUCUUUCAAUUCACCUGCUUGUAUUGUACAGGGAAAGAUUAAAGGAUACCCGAUAUGGGGCAAUCCAAAUCAAGUAGAGCCAUUCUUGAAUGAAAAUGCUUCUCCUCCAGCAGCAAGUCCAAGUAUUGUGAAUGCAAAAGCCUUGGGUUUACCUGUUUCAAAACUAUAGAGCUUCCAGGCUGAAUCACCUAGGGGACUUGUGGUUCUUGUUAUAUCAAUCUGAGCAUUGGGUAUGGGCUCAACUGAGAUUUCAGUUAUCAGAAGCAUUAGCAACCAAAUGCGGAGGAAGAGUAAUAUUGGCAUUAUAGCUUUAUGAUGUUGCAAUGACUGGUUUUAAAUUUCUUGAUUAUAAGAACUUAACAUUCUGCUGGUUAAGGAAUUUUUUAUCUUGGUAUG